AAAAAUGCGCUAAUAGAAACCGGUUUUUCACUACCGGUUUCUUUUAUGUGGUGUCGUUGUUACAUACUACACCGGUUUUAAUUAAAAUCAACCACACCGGUUAAAAACCGGUUUUAUAUUAUAAUUUAAAAAAAAAUUAAACAUGAAAAUACAAAACAAAUAAGAAAAAACUAUAUGAAUUAAACAUUAGUUUACUUCUUGGUGCCCUAGCGUAACUCCAUCAGCCCUCGCCAUCCUCCCUGCGCCGCCCUAUCCAGCGCCUCGCCUCUCUCCCCCGCCGACCUCCCUGCGCUGCCCCGCCCUAUCCAACUCUCGCUUCUCUCCCCCGCCGACCUCCCUGCGCCGCCCUGCCCUAUCCAACGCCUCGCUUCUCUCCCCCAUCGACCUCCUUGACAUCGCCCUGCCUUGCGUCGUCGCUUCUCUGCUGCCCGACCUCAAUCUUUAGCGCCCUAGCUAGUCGACCUCUAGAACUGUAUCUUGUCGGCGCCGUCCUCUUCUUCUCUGGUCACCGCCACCACGUCUCAGAGCCUCCA
rnacentral:lncRNA from 1 species